rnacentral:rRNA from 1 species
AGUGAACGCUGGCGGCGUGCUUAACACAUGCAAGUCGAACGAGAACGGGUUAUAGCUUGCUAUAAUUGUCAGCUAAGUGGCGCACGGGUGAGUAAUGUAUAGGUAAUAUGCCUCUUAUUAAGGGAUAACAAAUGGAAACGUUUGCUAAUACCUUAUACUCCUUAUUAACAGAAGUUAAUAAGGGAAAGAUUUAUUGGUAAGAGAUUAGCCUGUAUUGUAUCAGUUAGUUGGUGAGGUAAUGGCUUACCAAGACUAUGACACAUAACUGGUUUGGGAGGAUGAUCAGUCACACUGGAACUGAGACACGGUCCAGACUCCUACGGGAGGCAGCAGUGGGGGAUAUUGCACAAUGGACGAAAGUCUGAUGCAGCAACGCCGCGUGGAGGAUGACACAUUUCGGUGCGUAAACUCCUUUUAUAUGAGAAGAUAAUGACGGUAUUAUAUGAAUAAGCACCGGCUAACUCCGUGCCAGCCGCCGCCGUAA